AAACCAUGAUGACGAUAUCUUCGUUGCAAUUUCCGAUAGCACUCCCAAGCUUCAUACAACAUCUCUCCUUCAUGUUGAGAGAAACUAGUUAUAUCCAUUUUAAGUUU